ensembl:lncRNA
AUUUGGGGAAGGCCCACAUAUGUGUGAGGUGAGCGGGUGUCCACAUACUUUUGGUUAUAUCGUGUAGGUGAAAUAACUUGCAAACGAUGCAUAGGCCUACAUUUUGGGCACCGUAGUUUGAUCAAAUGGACAUAUUUCACACGGGUUUAUUCAGCAUGCCAGUGGACAACUAAACCCGCAGCUGGCUCAGACGACUGAACAGACAGACAGACAGAGACAGACAGCGGGCAACCUAUAACGCGCGCGCCUCGUGUAGGAUAUUUGUGCUGUUUGGGUGUUUCACCGAUAGAGGGCGCAGUUUAAGCACGUUACAGUGAAGCGGACCUGAGACAGCAUCAAGGAGGAGAGAAAGGUGGGCAGGAGGAGGAAAGGAUGCUCAGUUUAGAGCAUCACAUCGCGGCAUUUUACCCAGCUCACACCUUGGCGAGCCAAGAGGGGUUUUACAGGUUUAAGAAAGAGAACAUGACCUACAGUCUGGAAAACUAACCUUCAAACCUGGCAUAAGCUGAAGAACAAUAGUAAGAUACAAUUUGUACUACAGUUUUUAUUUAUGUUCCUUAUUAAUCAGAUGCUGAGUGUUGAGGCUGUUGAAUAUGACAUAAUGCCUAAGACAUUUUUCUAUCGUUUUCAAGAUUUUGCAGUAGCAUUUGGGUACUGUCCCUAAGCUAAUGCCAUAUAUGUAAACAUUAACCCUAACCAUAGAUUAUCAAUACAAGUGGUACACUCUUAGAUAAAGGGUUCCUCGUGGAUACUUUGGACAGUUAAUGUGCCCGGCUUUCUGUACAGGUUCCACUUGAAACCUUUAGUGAAUGGAAACCCUCUGUUAUAGAGUUCUGCAUAGAAUUUUUAAAGGUAUAGAUAUAGCCAAUGGAGUUUGUCACUGAAGCCCUGAGGAAAGAACAAAAAAAAAAUGUUUAAAAAAUGACCCCACCACAAUCGCAUAACAUACUUCAUAAAUGCUUGCACAUAGAAGUAACUGUUGUGAAUAUGUGUGAUCUUUUAGCUUACAGUAUAGUAGGAGUGAAUGUUGAUUGACUUGUGCUUCUUUGUUUUCAGGAUCGUUGUCUAGUUAACUGUCCUUCUUAUAGAUGGUGCUGUCAGUCUCCCCAGUCUCAAUCCACUUUCUUCCUUUGAGUGUGCAACUUUGCCGCAUCCUAUUAAUUUAUUAUCCCACUAAUAUAAACACAUAACCACAUAGAACUGUAAUUUUUUUUUCACAAAAUGUGUACACUGUAUUCAUUUAAAAUAAUCCUAAGAUACAGUGCAUUCAAAAUGACAGAAUACCCAUGGUAAAAGCCUCCUGCAAUGACUAUUCUUGUCCUUCUUGUGUCAUUUUUGUUUCUGUGUGGUUUUAAACACAUUCAACAAAUGACCCAUUGAAGGGCAAGCAAAAUAUAUAUAACUUCUUGGAGUGUUUUAUUUAGACUGCUAACUUUUUUAGACAGAUGAAAUGACACAAAUUUUCUCAUGGUAAACUGAUAAAUAAUGCUUGUAUAUCAGAUAGAAUUUAACAUUCUUAAAAAAUAACCUUUUUUAAAAAAAAAAACUGUGCUUUUAUUUAGCCAAUAUUAAGAAUGUUUAGAUGGAUAUCAAGCAUGACUAAAUGAUUUUGUACUUAGUACUUAGUAGUUUCUGCUAUUAAUCUAGAAUUUUUAAAAAAAUUAAUUUUACCUGUAUGUUACCUGUUACAAUUAGCAACACACUGAUAAAAACCUAAGGCUUUUUGUAAAUGGGUAAAUUUUUAGAUAGAGGACAUAGUCUCUUAGCUGAGAAAGUUAAUACAGAAGAACCCAGUGUGGACAAAACUAAAUUUUGACGACUCUGAGGGGCCAUAAAGGAAUGCAUGCUACACAAAGGGGGCCUCACACUGAAAAAGUUUGAGAACCACUGAUGUAGAGGAUAUGUUCA